GGAUUAGAUACCCUGGUAGUCCACGCCGUAAACUAUGAUUACUCGCUGUUGGCGAUACACUGUCAGCGGCCAAGCGAAAGCGUUAAGUAAUCCACCUGGGGAGUACGAUCGCAAGGUUGAAACUCAAAGGAAUUGACGGGGGCCCGCACAAGCGGUGGAGCAUGUGGUUUAAUUCGAUGAUACGCGAGGAACCUUACCAAGGCUUAAAUGCAGGACGACCGGUCUGGAAACAGACCUUUCUUCGGACGGCCUGCAAGGUGCUGCAUGGUUGUCGUCAGCUCGUGCCG
rnacentral:rRNA from 1 species